UAACCUUGGUGAGGACAGUCUAGUGUGUACUCCUUGAAUCGCUCCCAAGCCUCAUGAAAAAUCUCAAAACCAAGCUGCUGAUAACUUCCAAUCUUGCUUCUCAGAUA
rfam:Brassica napus, WGS project CCCW01000000 data, contig: 8168